rnacentral:rRNA from 1 species
GGCGCACGGGUGAGUAACGCGUAUCCAACCUUCCCCUUAGUAGGGCAUAGCCCGGCGAAAGUCGGAUUAAUACCCUAUGUUUUCCGAUGAGGACAUCUGAGCUGGAACAAAGAUUUAUCGCUAAGGGAUGGGGAUGCGUCUGAUUAGGUAGUCGGCGGGGUAACGGCCCACCGAGCCUACGAUCAGUAGGGGUUCUGAGAGGAAGGUCCCCCACAUUGGUACUGAGACACGGACCAAACUCCUACGGGAGGCAGCAGUGAGGAAUAUUGGUCAAUGGGCGCGAGCCUGAACCAGCCAAGUAGCGUGCAGGAAGACUGCCCUAUGGGUUGUAAACUGCUUUUAUGCGGGGAUAAAGUGCAGCACGUGUGCUGUUUUGUAGGUACCGCAUGAAUAAGGACCGGCUAAUUCCGUGCCAGCAGCCGCGGUAAUACGGAAGGUCCGGGCGUUAUCCGGAUUUAUUGGGUUUAAAGGGAGCGCAGGCUGAUUAUUAAGCGUGACGUGAAAUGUAGCCGCUCAACGGCUGAACUGCGUCGCGAACUGGUAGUCUUGAGUGAGUUCGAUGUAGGCGGAAUUCGUGGUGUAGCGGUGAAAUGCUUAGAUAUCACGAAGAACUCCGAUUGCGGAGGCAGCCUACAAGGCCUUUACUGAC